AUACGUAGGUGACAAGCGUUAUCCGGAUUUACUGGGUGUAAAGGGCGUGUAGGCGGUUUAGCAAGUCAGAAGUGAAAUUCCCGGGCUUAACUUGGGCGCUGCUUCUGAAACUGCUUUACUUGAGUGCUGGAGAGGAUAGUGGAAUUCCUAGUGUAGCGGUAAAAUGCGCAGAUAUUAGGAGGAACACCGGUGGCGAAGGCGGAUAUCUGGACAGUAACUGACGCUGAGGCGCGAAAGCACGGAGAGCAAACAGGAUUAGAUACCCUGGUAGUCCGUGCCGUAAACGAUGAAUACUAGGUGUAGGGGGUAUCGACUCCCUCUGUGCCGCAGUUAACACAUUAAGUAUUCCACCUGGGGAGUACGGCCGCAAGGUUGAAACUCAAAGGAAUUGACGGGG
rnacentral:rRNA from 1 species